rnacentral:rRNA from 1 species
AUUGAACGCUGGCGGCAGGCCUAACACAUGCAAGUCGAGCGAGCGGCGGACGGGUGAGUAAUGUCUGGGAAACUGCCUGAUGGCGGGGGAUAAAUACUGGAAACGGUAGAUAAUACCGCAUACCAUCAGAUGUGCCAAGAUGGGAUUAGCUAGUAGGUGGGGUAACGGCUCACCUAGGCGACGAUCCCUAGCUGGUCUGCGAGGAUGACCAGCCAAACUGGAACUGAGACACGGCCCAGAAUCCUCCGGGAGGCAGCAGUGGGGAAUAUGGCACAAUGGGCGCAAGCCUGAUGCAGCCAUGCCGCGUGUGUUAAGAAGGCCUUCGGGUUGUAAAGCACUUUCAGCGGGGAGGCGUUACCCGCAGAAGAAGCACCGGCUAACUCCGUGCCAGCAGCCGCGGUAAUUC